GAAAGAAACUGUUGCUGCAAUGACUCCAUAUGAGCAGAUCUUCUGGACUUGCUGCAUCUCCUUGUUGUUGCAACUGCUCAAAAUAAGAAUUCUUUGAAUAGAAAGUAAGAGCAGAACUUUGCCUCUGGUAAUUUCUUCUAUUUAUUUAUUAACUGAGGGAAUCCAGAAGGUUUGCUUUCAAGCCUUUCUUUGUCUGACAAGUGACUUCAGAAAUCUGGCAAAGGUAAAGAGAUUGGAGUCUUGCUCCGGCCUAGGUCUGGUUGUGAAACAGAUGGAGCCUGGCGCUGCUUUCAGGGCACAGGGCAACCACAUUAAGCAAAAGGGAUUUUAAGAGUGAAGGGGGAAGCCUCCCACACCUGCAUGAAGGACAAAAUGUAUGUGGUAGAUGAAGAUGGGAAUCUCUCAGGGGAGCAGUGGAUGUGGUUGAAAGAAUCACUUCUGUUCAGAUGUUUUAGUUUUGUAUGGGGAUGUUUGAAACCUGAGGAGAUGGCUCUACAGUAAGGAGAAAAUGGUAGAAGUUCUAAUAGAGUUGUUCUUGAUUUAACCUUUUGCAGUGCUUUUGUGUAAAAAUGAGCAAAGUCACCUCACUCAGUUGGCUGCUGAAGCAGUGUGUUUGGGUGACCACAGGAUAACUCUUGAUGUGGAGCUCCCCAUCUUCAGGGUGAAACCAGCUGUUUCUAAAGGUUGCUUUUUGAUGACCAACAACUUUUUGAGGGGACAUAAAUGUUUUUCAAAUACAUAUUUGCAGAAAAAUGGAAUUGUUAAAAUCAGGAGGAACGGUGGGGUAGAAGCUUUCAUGCUUGAGGAUUGAGUGUACAGCAAAGUUGGGGGUUCUACAGCUUUUCACUGGAGUACAUUAGUGACUUCAUUGCUAAAUCUUAUGCUCCUGUGCUUUUGCUUAUGAUUGUUAGUGCAGAUCUGUAAUCAUUGAUGAAUUGAUGGACCAUAUAAAAGUCAGCCUGGCUUUCAGGUUGGAACCUGUGCUCAAGCUUGGGAAAAUGACCUGUGAGGAUUUUUAUUAUUAUAAGGAAAACUGGAAGUUGAAAAGCUCUGUAUUUGUAAAUCUGCUCACAGAUUCUGUUACUCUGAUGGGCGUGUUUUCAGUAGGAAUAUGCUUUUUGUUGUUGUUGUUGUUAUUGUUGCACUGCUUUAAAAUAGAAAUAAUAGGAAAAAGCCUAGUAAAAAGACUGGUAAGUUUCACCACACAGAGUUAAAGGACUCUGGACAAAGUUGUUGAGCGCACUGAUUUCUCAGACUACAAAAACAGAGAAAAAAGUGGCAGAAGAAACUAGAACAUGGGAACCAGAGGACAUGGAGUGGUUUGCUUUAGCCUUUAGCAAGAACCUCAUUGCUCUGAUUUGCUGAGGAGAGGCUAUAAUGGAGCAAGAUGCAGAGGGAAAAAAUGGUAAAAUAUAUGCUUGCAGAAGUAGAUAUGUGGGAUCCUCAAGCUGCCUUUGGUUACCAGUUAUUACUAUGACAUCAGGAAUGUGACAGUGAGCUGUGGGAUUUUUUUCCUGAAACUGUGGAUUAAGUGUCCUCAGAGAGGACAUUCAGAAUCUUUGGUGGGAGCGGAAUGUGAAACACCAGCUGCUGCAUGGGCUGAGGCAAUCUAUGGAGGCAACUGGAGAAGUAUAAAGGAUGGUGUUGUUAAGGAUGGGGAGAGGUUCUUUUAACUUUUUAAAGACACUGCAUCUCUUCCUAAUCAAACAAUCAUGAUCCCUUGGGUUGUUGAUUCUAAAAUACCAAAUCCUACUGUUUUUAUUCCAGCCUCAUGUCAGCAAUACAUACUUCAUAUUUCCACACUGCAGUCCCUGUGGAGGCAGGUUGCAUUGUGGGGCUCAAUGGCAGGCUUUUGAUCUCAGCUGGAUAUGCUUCACUGUUGUUUUCUUUUCCCCAUGUAUUCCUUCCCUCCAGUGACCUUCCCCUUUCUACAACGAUUUAACAAAGACAAUAAAACUGAGUCACAGUAGGAAAACUUGCUGUCUGCAGAUGAGGAGACGAAGGGAAAUUUCUGCUGCUGCUUCCAGCAGUGCUUUAGCUUAAAGUGCAAUUUUUUUCCCUCUGUUUUUGGAAGGUGUGAAGUAACCAAGUUGUUGUGGAGUGUGGAGCAUUAGGCUCAGGAGAGCAGUGAAUAUUUUUGUUGGUUUUGGAGCCAUCGGGGUUAUUUGUGAAUCCUCACUAGAGAGCUUUUCUUAGUGGAGGAAGAGGGUAUUUGGGAGCACAAAGUGACCUUGCUGUGUUUGUAUUACAUUGGCAAGAAUAAUUGAACCUCACAUACUAGAGAUAAGAAAAGUGACAUUCCUGAUGAGGGGACCUGGAAAACUCCAGUAUUACUCUGGAUUGUUAAAUGCCAGUUAAAUGGAAAGUUGUCACAAAUGUUUUUUCAAAACUUAAAAAUUUACGACCAGUACUCAGUGCCAGACAGAAAACUGCUGGAGCUGAAGUUCAAACAGAGCAUAAACUCUGCCAGGAAGGAUGACACAGUAGUUUAAGUAUGCUGAAACUGAUAAAUUACUCCUCCAGGGUACCACCCUUCCACACAUAUUCUUGUGGGACUAGGAAAUAACACUGUCAUUUGCACUAUGCACUUUUUGCUGUCUAACUGAAUAUAAUCUGGAGUAAGUGGAAUGGCAUUGCUGGCAUUGCAUGUGUUAGCUGUAAUCAAUGGACAGAAAGUUUAUCUUCAGCUGGACUUUUCACUGUAUUACAUUUGGCCCCUUGCUAUGUAAGGAGAAUUGCACUCAUAAUUACUGUGUACCAAAAGCAAGAUCAUCUGAGAGCACAUGGAACAAGAAAACUCAUGUAGUCACGCACACAUUGUCUUUGUAGAGCUUCAUUUUAAGAUUAUAAAAUGAGAAUACGUGAAUUUUAUAUAUUUUCAAGGUUUUUGCCAGUCAUGCAGUUCUUCAUUUACGAAGUACUGACCUCACUGUCCCUUCUAGGAUAAGCCUGAAAUUAUUGUCCAACCACAGCCCCUCUCCAAAAGCACUAAAUGCCCGACUUUUCAAAACCAGCAAUAAUUGGAUAAUGAAGUCCCUCCACAGAAACUCAGCUUCACUUUUAAAUUUUUAUUUUUUAAGGGGCACUGAACUAAGAGCUUUGCAUCUUUCGAGAGAGCAUUAGAUGCUUCUUACGAUCACAAUAACAGAUAGGUACUAGUUAGUGUCAUAAACUCUGCCUUUUGUCUGUAGUGUGCCACAUGCUAUGCACCCGCUGUGCAGCAGAUACAGGAAUAUCAGAUCAAUUGAAGAUUACUGAAGCCCCACUAACACAUUGGAUCAGUGUUACUGUGAAAGCAGAAGCCUGGUAGUUAUGUUUUCCAACUUUGCCUCCCCCCAUGACCUAAACGAACUAACUAACUAAAUCUGUGUAUUCUGCCUUUUUGAGUAAAGAGGGCUGGGAGAAGGGCUCAUUGUUAGAUGCCGACAGGCCCACAUGGCAGGCCCAGGCUCCUGCUGUUGGCUUUGUGGCAAAGUGCUCUGUUGUAUCACACUGAGCCUUGAUUCCUGGCACAAGAGGAGUGUUGAGGAGAACGUCUCGCUGAGUUAGCAAAUACCAGAACUUUUUAUAUCCGUGUGUCCAAAAUGCUGCUUGUAUAGGAUUUGUCACUUUUGUAAGAAAAGAAGAAAAAAUCACCAAAAAAAAAAAUUCAUAAAAAACCCCACCAUCCCAUUACAUAAGAUUUCAUUGGAACUACCUCUCAGCGUAAGAUUCAAACGUUAGGUAAGUUUAAUAGGGUUUGCUCACUGUCACAUUAUGUAAAAGUUACAGUAAAUGCCAAAAUCGCAAAAGUUUAUCACCAAAAAAACAACAAUAAUAAAAAAGAUGAAGUCUUUCUUUUUAUGUGUUUGGAAGUAUCCAGUAGUUUCAAGUGACUGUAUACUCUGUUGUAUUCUUUUAACUUCUGUAGUUUUAGUCUUGCAAACUCUGGCUGCUGGACAGGAGGCAAAUCAUAACCACAAGCUUUCAUAAUCACGGUCUGCUGAGUAAAAACAAUUUUGUGUGCAGCAUUGUUGUUUGGCUAUGGAUAGCCUCAUUCACCACAUGUACCAUUAAUUACUUGUUUUCUUCAGUACUAGAGAUGUGAACUUGAUGAAUGGUUUCUGUAACGGAUGCGUGCCACAAACUGCAUUGUCUUGUUUGCCUCUUUCCUGAGUUUUAAUGAUCAGUUUAUUAUUGCGGAUGUGAAUAUCGCACAUUCAACUUAUUUUCUGUAUAAUUGUAUAAAAUAUAAAUGGAAAAAGGUUUAAGUUCUUACACAGUAUUUAGAAGUAAUGUAUUAUAACAGCCUUAUGAUGCAGUUUUACUUACAGAGUACUGCACUUCUUUUAAACUGGAUCAUACCAUCUUGGUAGGUGUAGAUCAACUUUGCAUGAGUGUGUUUGGGUUUUGUUUCUUUUUCAUUGAAGUUUAAUUCUUAAGUUCUAUUUCAGUGUUUGUGUUUACUACUUGUGAUCAUGUAGUUGUGCCUUACAUUGUGAAAGAAUUUAGUCCAGCGUGCACUGUAAUUCCUAAACUCUGCGGUUUGAAAGGUGGCUGUGGAUUUGGAUGAGAAAAUGACAUCAUGCAUCAACCAACCAGUUCUGUAUAAACUAUGAUGAAAUGUUAUUGAAAUGUAAUUUUUGUUUUCUAACCUGUUACAGGAUCGAUGAACGACAAUAAAAGAAAAAAUUAGAC
rnacentral:lncRNA from 1 species